rnacentral:rRNA from 1 species
CGGCAGGCCUAAUACAUGCAAGUCGAGGGGUAGAGAGAGCUUGCUUUCUUGAGACCGGCGCACGGGUGCGUAACGCGUAUGCAACCUACCUUUAUCUGGGGGAUAGCCCGGAGAAAUCCGGAUUAAUACCGCAUAAAAUCACAGAAUAGCAUUAUUUAAUGAUCAAACAUUUAUGGGACGAAGAUGGGCAUGCGUGUCAUUAGCUAGUUGGCGGGGUAACGGCCCACCAAGGCGACGAUGACUAGGGGAUCUGAGAGGAUGGCCCCCCACACUGGUACUGAGACACGGACCAGACUCCUACGGGAGGCAGCAGUAAGGAAUAUUGGUCAAUGGAGGCAACUCUGAACCAGCCAUGCCGCGUGCAGGAAGACUGCCCUAUGGGUUGUAAACCGCUUUUAUCCGGGAAUAAACCUUUCUACGUGUAGGAAGCUGAAUGUACCGGAAGAAUAAGGAUCGGCUAACUCCGUGCCAGCAGCCGCGGUAAUACGGAGGAUCCAAGCGUUAUCCGGAUUUAUUGGGUUUAAAGGGUGCGUAUGCGGCCUGUUAAGUCAGGGGUGAAAGACGGUAGCUCAACUAUCGCAGUGCCCUUGAUACUGAUGGGCUUGAAUGGACUAGAGGUAGGCGGAAUGAGACAAGUAGCGGUGAAAUGCAUAGAUAUGUCUCAGAACACCGAUUGCGAAGGCAGCUUACUAUGGUCUUAUUGACGCUGAGGCACGAAAGCGUGGGGAUCAAACAGGAUUAGAUACCCUGGUAGUCCACGCCCUAAACGAUGAACACUCGCUGUUGGCGAUACACAAUCAGCGGCUAAGCGAAAGCGUUAAGUGUUCCACCUGGGGAGUACGCCCGCAAGGGUGAAACUCAAAGGAAUUGACGGGGGCCCGCACAAGCGGAGGAGCAUGUGGUUUAAUUCGAUGAUACGCGAGGAACCUUACCCGGGCUUGAAAGUUAGUGAAUGAUCUAGGGAUAGAUCAGUGAGCAAUCACACGAAACUAGGUGCUGCAUGGCUGUCGUCAGCUCGUGCCGUGAGGUGUUGGGUUAAGUCCCGCAACGAGCGCAACCCCUAUGUUUAGUUGCCAGCAUGUAAUGAUGGGGACUCUAAACAGACUGCCUGUGCAAACAGAGAGGAAGGAGGGGACGACGUCAAGUCAUCAUGGCCCUUACGUCCGGGGCUACACACGUGCUACAAUGGAUGGUACAGAGGGCAGCUAGCUGGCAACAGUAUGCGAGUCUCACAAAGCCAUUCACAGUUCGGAUUGGGGUCUGCAACUCGACCCCAUGAAGUUGGAUUCGCUAGUAAUCGCGUAUCAGCAAUGACGCGGUGAAUACGUUCCCGGGCCUUGUACACACCGCCCGUCAAGCCAUGGAAGUUGGGGGUACAUAAAGUAUGUAACCGCAAGGAGCGUCCUAGGGUAAAACCGAAA